GAUGAACGCUAGCUACAGGCUUAACACAUGCAAGUCGCGGGGUAACAUCUGGUAGAGCUUGCUCUUCCAGGAUGACGACCGGCGCACGGGUGAGUAACGCGUGAGCAACUUGCCCGUCACAGGGGGAUAACCGGUGGAAACGCCGACUAACACCCCGUAACACAUUUCGCUGCAUGGCGAGAUGUUGAAAACUCCGGUGGUGACGGAUAGGCUCGCGUGCCAUUAGCUAGUCGGCGGGGCAACGGCCCACCGAGGCGACGAUGGCUAGGGGUUCUGAGAGGAAGGUCCCCCCACAUUGGAACUGAGACACGGUCCAAACUCCUACGGGAGGCAGCAGUGAGGAAUAUUGGUCAAUGGGCGAGAGCCUGAACCAGCCAAGUAGCGUGCAGGACGACGGCCCUAUGGGUUGUAAACUGCUUUUAUAAGGGAAUAAAGCGAGUCUCGUGAGACUUUUUGCAUGUACCUUAUGAAUAAGGACCGGCUAAUUCCGUG
rnacentral:rRNA from 1 species